GUAUAACAGGGGCAGUUUCUGAGGAAGAGUACCCAUCUGAAAGGGAAUUGCAUCUUAGGACCCUCUGGCGAAAGUUAUACUCAAAAUCUUUUAGCAAAGCAUUAGUAAAGAAAUGAGAAUGCCUAAAAACUUAUUGAACACCACCUGUAGAAUCAAGAAAGAGCGUUGUCAAUCCUUACCAUGUCUGGACCUGGUGAGUUUCCCCGUGUUGAGUCAAAUUAAGCCGCAGACUCCUUGCAAUUUUAUACUUUUUUAGGGCCCUCGCAGGUCUUGCAAAAAAAAGUUUGAGCCUUGCAACCCCUUGAAAAUGGCCCUGUGAUAUCACAUUAACGUCAUAAAAAAAAACUUAAGUUCUUGGAUUUGAAACAGAAACGAAGCAUUUUUCUUUAUUAUCCUAUUCAACAACUUCACUUUGCUUGUUUGCUAGUGGCUGAUUUUAGCACUUAAUAGAGGGAAAUCAAUUAUACUCUUGGAGUUCUUAUGUGUAAGUAUAAAUCUUCAUUUACUACCGAUAAAAUUGGCCCAA